GGUUGUAGCAACUCAGUUCAGCUAUUUUCCCAUUAUUCUCUAGUAACCAUAGAAAUGUAGGAAUUGCCAAGACAUUGUUUUGAAACAACUGAAGGAUGAGGCAGUUGCUAGUCAGCGCUGUGGCACCUUCUGACUUCAUUCUUAACUCAUUCAAUGGCAGGCUGAGAAGGAAGCAAGGAACAUUUUCUUCCUUUGACUGGUUUUGUACUUAAGUCAUUAGACUACUGGUUAUUUGCUUCCAGUAAAUGUUAAUCUGGGGGCCAAGGAGACACCCUGAUCUUAUGUAUGACUUGUUUGACCUGUCACAUUCUAAGUUGGCUUUACACAUGUGGCACCAAGUCAGAAUCGGCUUUCUAAUGGAGAGGGCCCAAAUGUGUGGAAGUAUGUGUGUGUGUGAAUUAUCCUUGUUAAAUGCCACCCUUCCCUGGCAUCCCAUUGAUCUUGUCAUAUUCUCCCACUAUUGUCCUCGCUCUCCUGAUGCCUAUCCAGGCUGAGGCAACAGAGACUCUUACUUGAGAGUAAGGAAGAGGCCUUUAUUGAAGCAAAGAAGACUUGCAGACAGGAAUAGGAGAUGAAUCACAGUAGCUGUUAGGCUCAGGAUUGAUGCAGGAAAUGUGAGGGCAGUCAGGCUAGAAGCAGUGAUCCAACCUCUUCAUCAGCACCCAAACUUUUAGUUUGUACACCGCCUUGCUAUAUUGCUAUACACAAGGCAGUUUGCAAGCUGAAGAAGCUACAAAAUAUACAGCAAAGACCAUGCAUCAUAUAAUAACCCAGUCCCAUGCAAAUAAGACGCAAUAAAAGAUAUGACUUAAAAUAAACAACUUGAAUCAAAUAAUCAAUAACCUUAGAAUAUUAUAAUGCACAAAAUAUCAGCAAAUAAUAAUUAAAGGAGGC